AUGCCGACAGGACACAUCCGUAGCAGGCUGGGGAGGAAGAGUGAACAACACAGCUCAAAAAUCACUACUGGUCCUGAUUUAGAAAGCACAGGCACAGAAACAAACCCCAAAGCCAACCUGAAUUACCACCUAAAGAAAUGCAUAAGGAUGAACUCAAAACCAUGGGUACUUACCCCGAAAAACCUAUAUGUCCCUGGCCUUCCAAGGUGUUCUGGACCCCAGCUGUCCUGUUGGACUUGCCAUCGUCACCCCAGAGUUGAAACUUGUCUGGUUCACAAUAGCCAGCUGGACUGCACACCCCCGUGGCAAAAAAAAAAAAAAAAAAAAGUAAAAAAAAGUCAAAGGAUGAUUAAUUUUAUGCAUAAGCAAUUGGCUUGCCCAUCUAAGAUCUUCAAAAAAGAAAAGUUCUACUAUACGCAAUGUUCAAUCCUGAAAAGUCUCAGGCCUGGGAGUUUUUCCAAGCUUUUUAAGCUGAAGUCCAGCUGGGCAGGGGAUGACCCUCUACAUUAAAUACACUUUUGUUAAGGAUAAGGAAGUCCAUGUCAUCAGAAAAGAGAAAAUAUAUGUACUAAAAGUUUCUCCCAGAAACUUUCCAUCUUGUCUCCGGGAUUUGGAUUCUGAACAUUAUCGAUUGAAGAACGGCCAUCUGAAUGGAUGCUAGUAUACUUGUUGAAGCGCUACAGGAUCUCUCAUCCCAAAUCCUAGUAUUCUUUGUCCCCACUGAACCAGUACAGAUAGAACAGAGUCUCCACUGUGUCUCUGGUCAUAACAGAUGGAGAUUGUCUUCAGGCCACAUCUCCAUAUCCUCAGGGCUAGCUUUGGGGUUGAUACUGAAGUACACAGUUUCUGGGCUCAGCCCAGUUCUAAAGGGAUGAUACCUGUGAUAAUAGGUCUCCAUAAAAGCUUCAGCUAGGUCCAUGUGGUCACCGGUCAGACCACGAUGUGUACCCAGAGCCAGGGUCCUAAUCAAAAAACACACGAAAUGAUCCAUCUUGGCUCUGAAUUUGCCAUCCACAACUUCUCCCACCGAAACUCAGCUUGCUGGGCUCCGACUGCGGAAGCAGAUGCUUUUUUUUUUUUUUUUUUUUUAAAGAUUUUAUUUUUUCCUUUUUCUCCCCAAAGCCCCCCAGUACAUAGUUGUGUAUUCUUCGUUGUGGGUUCCUCUAGUUGUGGCAUGUGGGACGCUGCCUCAGCGUGGUCUGACGAGCAGUGCCAUGUCCGUGCCCAGAAUUCGAACCGACGAAACACUGGGCCGCCUGCAGCGGAGCGCGCGAACUUAACCACUCGGCCACGGGGCCAGCCCCAGAAGCAGAUGCUUUUUUAUUCCUUCUAUGGCUUCAACCUAGUCUCGUAGCAACUGAAUGUCUUCCUUUCCUCCUUAGAUCCAUUGAUUCAGCAGCGCUCUGGCUCCAAAAGUGAAGCUCCACAGGAGUGAAGAAGCCACGGUUGGUAUAAAUGAAUACGGGCAUCAGCCCACCAUUCUUCCCAGGGAGGGAAUGUAUAUACUCUGCCAGUUCCAUCACCACCUCCUGAAAUUUCUCAUCUCUAGUGAGACGAGAGAGCUUUCUGGACUCACACUGAAUGCCCGUCACUUUGCCACUACAGUGAUAUCUAAGGAAGCCUCACCAUUGACAACGUUUACAUCAAAGUUUGGACAGAACUUCACACCCAGUCAGAAAGGCUACGUGCAGAAAAUUAGAUAUGGUGAGGAUAACUUCCCUUUCCCCAUACAAGCGCAUCCUUCACCUGCUCCAGCACGCCAAGGCUCGGGGUCACCGACAUCACGUCCCAAGGCUGUGGUGCUGGGUCUGAACGGAGAAUGUUUUCCUCCCGCUUCCCGUUCCACUUCCGGGUUCCCUAACGCAUCCCUAAAGGCACCUCCCCAAGCCCGCCCCGUGCAGCAUUGCGCCUGCGCCGGCGGCUCUGUUUAGCCCGUUUGUAAACUGGGGGCAAACUUAGUUAAUUGUUUCUUAGCCCUUGGGCACGUCCUGGCCGUGUGCUUUAAUAGCACUGAUGACACUUCCUGUUCUGAGAAUGUUUUUACAGUGGGCUGAUGAAAAAUAGCACCUCUUGAGGAGCCAGCGCCCUUUCUCUGUACAGUGGUGUAUGUAUUAAGCCCCAAACGAACUCCUGUGCGAUGCUUCUCAAUCUUUUAUAUGCCUGAGAAUUAUUUGAAGGCUUAUUAAAACAUAGGCCGCUUGUCCCCAUCCCCAGAGAGUCUGCUGCAGUAGACCUAGGGCAGAGAGGAGACUUUGCAUUUCUAGCAAGUUCCCAGGUGAUGCUGCUGGUGGUGGUUUACAGAUCACACUUUGAGAACCACUGCUCUGAUUCCUGGCAGUUCAGGAAGAAACAGGACUGGGAGCCCAAGAUGGCAAAGCUUGAGACCAUCCAUCAUCUCCCACCAAAACAGGAACUCUUCGUGCUUUACAUAUCUGGCUUCAGGAUAAGAUUUCAUUUGGAUUAAGAUUUCUGUAGUAAAAAUGGUUGAAAACCCAUUUCUCUAGGUGAAAUCAACAUUUGUGAUUCUGCAAAAUAAAGACAGAGAGUCACUAAUCUCA
rnacentral:lncRNA from 1 species